AGUGAACGCUGGCGGUAGGCCUAACACAUGCAAGUCGAACGGCAGCACAGUAAGAGCUUGCUCUUACGGGUGGCGAGUGGCGGACGGGUGAGGAAUACAUCGGAAUCUACUUUUUCGUGGGGGAUAACGUAGGGAAACUUACGCUAAUACCGCAUACGACCUACGGGUGAAAGCAGGGGAUCUUCGGACCUUGCGCGAUUGAAUGAGCCGAUGUCGGAUUAGCUAGUUGGCGGGGUAAAGGCCCACCAAGGCGACGAUCCGUAGCUGGUCUGAGAGGAUGAUCAGCCACACUGGAACUGAGACACGGUCCAGACUCCUAAGGGAGGCAGCAGUGGGGAAUAUUGGACAAUGGGCGCAAGCCUGAUCCAGCCAUACCGCGUGGGUGAAGAAGGCCUUCGGGUUGUAAAGCCCUUUUGUUGGGAAAGAAAAGCAGCAGGUUAAUACCCCGCUGUUCUGACGGUACCCAAAGAAUAAGCACCGGCUAACUUCGUGC
rnacentral:rRNA from 1 species